rnacentral:lncRNA from 1 species
UGAAAUUUGCUUUCCUGGAAACACAAACUCACACACUCCUCUCUGAUAGGAUGAGGUCACUGUGUCGGCUCGUCCAGGUGCAGGAGGAUUUUGAAGCCAGUGUUAAGGACAUACUGGAGGGCGUAGAUGGCCUCUGGGCUCAGCUGGAGGAGCUGCACACCGGAGUCACGCUCACCAAAGAGGGGAGCCGGAGCCACAGAGACCUGGCCUCGGCCCAGACAGACGCAGCGGUAAGCAGGGUUUUUAAAGUGCUGGAUUUGUUUAGCUUUCAGUUAAUCUGAACUACUUUUUAGUUACGACUAAGAAAUAUGUUUUUGUCGGGUUUCCAAAGUUAAGUUGCGUCUACAACAACAACAGUUGUCUUCUUAGAACCAUGAAUCUUGGUGAUUGCGUUAACAUUUGCCAUGUCGCUGCCUUUGAGUGUUGUUUGUAAUACUCCUACGUGUUUGGCAAAGGCUUUGUUCGCAGUCUUGGGUCACUACAGGAACAGGCUUCAGUGCUGCCAGACUCGUCUGGAGGACAGCACACAACUGCUGCAGGAGCUAACCUGGAGUCACACUCAUAUAAGCAACAGUGUGAGCAGCAGCAGUGAGUCAGUUUGGCCGGAGCUGUUGCUUCAGUCCAACAUUGAGCAGUUUGACAAGGUGCAGGAGAGUUUCCUCUCCCUGGAACAACAGACCUCAACGUUCCAGGCCCACCUGGAGGGACUUGGAAAGGAGAAUCAGGAAGGACACGCAGGGCCCCUCGGUUAUGCUAACGGGGCCCAUUCAUGCCCAGUGUCCCCACAGAGUUCCCCACAUCUCCACAGUGGACGCACAAGCAGUGUGUCACUGGAGCACCGUAACUCGACCUCUGCAUCCGUAUCUGUGUCCUCAGCAGAUGCAGACUCGGACACAGAAGCAGACGCUCCUCUGUCACUGUGUGAGAGGUCGGCACUGCAGUUAACCUCCACUGUCGGACGCCUGCGUAAAUCUGGAAGGAAGAAGUGACUUUUAUUGGACUUUAGACAUUUUGUAAAUAGAAUACAAGAAGAAUACAAGAGAGAAUAUUUUCAAAUGUUGAUCAUUUGCUGAUUAUUUAUUGCUUCCUGUGAUUGCAUUACUGUGUUUUACUACUAAGCUUUAACUUUUCAUUUCAAGGACUGCAUGGCUGGUUUUUAAAGCUUGCAAGUGCAUCUUUUUAAAUUCAGUGAAACACAAGGGGGCACACUUUCACCAGUUAUUUCAGGCACAAACAGACAGCACAAAUUAUACAUUGUACAGUCAUCUCAGAUCUCUGUCUGCAAUGACAGGCCGUGGCCCUGAUCUUUUCCUUUCAAUCAACUUUAUAGGAGGAAAGGGAUGAACAGGCUCCUAAAACAUAUGGCCCAUAAAUGUGUUUCUUUAAGAUCAGAACAGUCAGUCAACUUGUGUCUGAAGAAUGACAUUUUUAGAGUAAGUUAGAGAGUUAAUUUCACCAACCUCCUUUUUGCACUUGAAAAUUAUAAUGUAAUGUUUUUAUUUAUUUUUUAUUAUUGUACUACUUAUAAAACAUAUCCAAUGUCUGUUACAACUCUUUUAACAAGUGUACAUUUAUCAACGACUGCUUAGUGAAUAUGUUCUUCUAAGGUGCAGGAGGAACAGGUUACAGGUUAAGAAGUCCCAGACUUUUUCUCUUUUUCACAACUAUUUUUCGUUCCGUCUCUCUCUAUCAGACUCUGCGAUGACUUGAGCCCUUCAAAGCAGGGAUUUUAGGUUCAGGGGCGGGGGGGGGGGAGGAAGGUAGAAGGGGGCAGUGGAGGUCAACGCCGGAAGCGUUUCUGUUAUUACUAAAAACUGAGCAGUCCUCUAGACCUUUUUGAAAGACAUGAAUGUCUUUGAUCCAAAUUCAAUUACCCUACAGCUUCAACACUGAUAGCAUGGAAGUCGACAUAGUAUUCUCCACCAGAUUCCCGACUUUUCUUACCAGAGCAAACAGGAUUUCUGAUGAGAAUCAAUUCAUUCAUGGCCGCUGUUAAGUGCUAAUUGUAGGGAGUCAGUACAGUAUGCAUGACGUGGAUGUCACUUGACCAUGGACUUGCCUACCAUCUGCCAGAUCCUGCAUCUGUCUGAUUCACUCACACUGGGUCAGUGAUUGGGAGAGGUGGGGCUGACCCCAAGGGGGAUCUGGGAUGAAAGGAAUGUAAGCUGAACACUGCAGGAUCCGAGCUGUCACAACACCAAAGACACAAACACACCAUGUCUGGAUGGAUGGAGGGAUGUAAAGACUGUGGGAGGAGAGAUGUUGUGUGUUUGGUUAUUUGAAGUUAGUGACAAGAGCUUUGAAUAAAAAAAAAUUAAAAAAAAUGUUAUGACAUGCCGCAUGAAUAUGUAACAUUUUCCACGAAUCAGUCCUGAAUACACAGAACAUAACGGUCUUGGAUGCUUGCUUACAAUAACAAUGACCACAUUUGCUUUGAGGUCCAACAGUCAAAAGACAACAACAGAGGUUUUUG